rnacentral:rRNA from 1 species
UGGGGAAUAUUGCACAAUGGGCGAAAGCCUGAUGCAGCAACGCCGCGUGAGCGAUGAAGGCCUUCGGGUCGUAAAGCUCUGUCCUCAAGGAAGAUAAUGACGGUACUUGAGGAGGAAGCCCCGGCUAACUACGUGCCAGCAGUCGCGGUAAUCAUACUCU